rnacentral:lncRNA from 1 species
GAUGGUGGACCAUAGCGACGCAGACGGUCGGAACAGGUUCUGAUUAUUGGGGUUGGAGUAUGACGGCUUGGGAGUCACGGAACUGUGGGGGAGAAGAAACAUUUGGAUUAGACCAGCCGAUCGAUUAUCUCUUCUAGAGGUAAACAGAAAUAAAGAUGAACCUGAUACAUCUAAUGGUCCUACAACUGAUCUUGAGCAUGAAGACAAAGCACAGAACACAUGCAGAACGAAGAAUUUAGGGGCCCACCCAAGCAAACGUUGGUCACGAUCUUCUUGUCAACUUUCAACUCAUCAGUAACGUCUGCACUGAUGCUCUUUCGGCUAAAAAGUGUGUGAAGCUUUUUUGUUCUUUACAAAAAGCCAACAUACUCAAAGGCGAUUCAUACUUUGAGCAACGCCGCAGCCAGCGCAACCACAGCGAACGCAGCCGCAUCGGCUCAGCGAGCGCAGCCGCAGCGAGCUGAAGUCGAUUCUGGCCCGUUUGGGGCUGCCCACAAAGGGCUGAUUGGAGUAAUGAUUUUCAGCAGCUACAAGUUUGGGGCUGCUACGAUAUGAAGCUCGCAAGCCCUUGAUUUGGAUUCUUUUGGUGGAGGAAUCGACUCGUAAUCAACGGUAAGUGGUUUGGUUUGGUUAUGCACUUAUGCUUAAUGUUUACCAGGAUUUUAAGUGAUUUUGGGAUCCAUUAUUAAAGGUAAACGAGUUAAGAGGCUGCUGCAUUUUGGUUCUUAUUUAGUAACAUAUCAAAUAGUAAAUUAGCAUAAC